rnacentral:rRNA from 1 species
GACGAACGCUGGCGGCGUGCUUAACACAUGCAAGUCGUACGGUAAGGCCCUUUCUGGGGUACACGAGUGGCGAACGGGGGAGUAACACGUGAGUAACCUGCCCACAACUUUGGGAUAACGCUAGGAAACUGGUGCUAAUACUGGAGAUGUGCUCCUGCUGCAUGGGGGGGGUUGGAAAGCUCCGGGGGUUGUGUAUGGAGUCUCGGCCUAUCAGCUUGUUGGUGGGGUAGUGGCCUACCAAGGCGGCGGCGGGUAGCCGGCCUGAGAGGGUGACCGGCCAACUUGGGAAUGAGAUACGGCCCAGACGCCUACGGGAGGCAGCAGGGGGGAAUAUUGCACAAUGGGCGCAAGCCUGAUGCAGCAACGCCGCGGGCGGGAUGACGGCCUUCGGGUUGGAAAACGCUUUCAGCAGGGAAGAAGCUUUUUGUGACGGUACCUGCAGAAGAAGCACCGGCUAACUACGUG